UAUUUCUUCACCAUUGUGACCCUCCUCUUUUAUUAUUCACAAUCUCUUCCUGGUUUGUUCUCAAUUAAUCUAACUUUCAGUGGAAAUUUCAAUCUCCUAAUUAUAUCAUCUCUAACCAAGUCUUAACGUUUACUGCUACUUGUGUCAAUAUGCCAUUAAAUGGAUUAAUUUAUCAGAAGUUUACUGUGCAAAUAACGAAGUCGAUUAUCAUUUACUGGAGAUUUUUCAGAUUUUGCUUUGUCCACUGCAAAAAGGCUUUAUUGAGUGACCAAUUUCAACUCAAAUCGCCAUGCUUAGAUGCACAACUUCUUAUCAGAUAGAAUAUAUUUUAGUAAUUUUCUUUAAUUUGACAUGCAAGCCUUAAUUGAGCAAAAAUUUAGGCACUUUCUUAAAUUAGACUGAAAGAUGAUGAUGGAACAAUGGAAAGUCAAAUGAAUAUUUCGUUGAUAAUCAUCAUAAGCCUUAAACAACAAUAUGCAAUAUUCAAUGGUAAUGUUAAUAAGAAGUGAAAGCCUAGGAGUAAAGACAAGACUAAAACAAAAGGAGUGAAUUCCAAAGGAAAAUAAUGAAGAAAUCUAAUUCAACUCAUUGAACCAUCAGCUGUUUAACCAAGAUUUGCUCAUACAAUUUCAUUUCCUUGGAAAAACUAAAGUGUCUGAAUAUGUCAAUGGAUGAAAAGGAUGAAGAUGAUGAUGAAGCCCAAGCUGAUGAAGUUGAGGAAGUCAAAGCUAAGGGCGAUGAACAAGAUGACAAGGAAUCCAAAAACAACAACAACAAUAAGAGGCUGUGUAUUAUCUCUUUCUCUUCUAUCUUUCUUUCCAUAAUAAUGGGAAGACAGAACGGUUAGAAAGAGGAAAACUAGUUAGUAUUCAAUGUGUUCCAUGAUCUUUGUUUGAAAUGGUCUCAGAUAGGAACAACCCUGUCAAUCCUGAGCCUUCUAUUAACUCUCUCGUAGCGUUUUUAUUCUUAUACAUAUUCAUAGUUUUCCUCCAUUCUAAUUCAAAACUACAUCUUUUACCUCACAAUUUUGUUUUUUUUCGCCAUGUCAGAUAGUUAUCCUUUAUCAUGCACAUUCAUUUCACAAACACCAUUGUCAACUUUACAUUGAAUGCUAAAUGCAAAUUAUUUCAUAAUUAGUUAAUCUUCUUUUUUUCCUUUUGUAUUCCAUCAUCUUUAGUCUAUUCAAUUAACACUAAACCUCUUUGGUUGUGUAUCUAAAUAGGUCUAGAAUACAGAAUAAAUUUAAAUUUAGCUGCA